UACGUAGGGCGCAAGCGUUGUCCGGAAUUAUUGGGCGUAAAGAGCUCGUAGGCGGUCUGUCGCGUCCGUUGUGAAAACUCGAGGCUCAACCUCGGGCUUGCAGUGGAUACGGGCAGACUAGAGUGCGGUAGGGGAGACUGGAAUUCCUGGUGUAGCGGUGGAAUGCGCAGAUAUCAGGAGGAACACCGGUGGCGAAGGCGGGUCUCUGGGCCGAUACUGACGCUGGAGGAGCGAAAGCGUGGGGAGCGAACAGGA
rnacentral:rRNA from 1 species